rnacentral:lncRNA from 7 species
GGAUGGCAAGAAAUACAGGGAAAGCAAUGCAUAGCACAGCAAAGCAAAGCAAGGCAAAAGCAGCCAAAGCCACGAGAAUCAAGAAGUCAGUGAAGAGCAGGAAAGGAAUGGAGGAAUCUGGCCAGAGCUGUGCCCCUGCUUGCCACAGGAGCUGCGCGGGAGGAGAAGAAUGUGGGCCAAAAGGUAAGAGGAGCUCCUUUGGGUUCUGGGCUUGAAGCAAAGCUGAGAAGCCAUGCCCGGGAGGAGGUGUGGGUAGCUACAGGCCACCUUGCUAUCUCCCCAAGAGAUGAGGUGUGUGGGCUAGGCACCGGGCAGGAGUGCUGGCCAGAAGCAAGCAUCUCUGUGGAGGAAGGCAAAGGGCGGAGGAGGUUAGGCACUGGGAAGGGUUUUUUAAAAAUAACAAAAAAUUGUGAAAUGAAGAAAGAAAUGAGCUAAAUAAUGCUAUAAGUAUGCAUAA